GCGGAAACGGCGAUUUCGAUGAAACCGCUGCCCGGGAGGAUCGCCUUGCCGUCGACCACGUGUUCGGCGAGAUCAGGGAAGAGAU
rnacentral:sRNA from 1 species